UACGUAGGGUGCGAGCGUUAACCGGAAUUACUGGGCGUAAAGCGUGCGCAGGCGGUUUUGUAAGUCAGAUGUGAAAUCCCCGGGCUUAACCUGGGAAUGGCAUUUGGGACUGCAAGGCUGGAGUGCGGCAGAGGAGACUGGAAUUCCUGGUGUAGCGGUGAAAUGCGCAGAUAUCAGGAGGAACACCGGUGGCGAAGGCGGGUCUCUGGGCCGAUACUGACGCUGAGGAGCGAAAGCGUGGGGAGCGAACAGG
rnacentral:rRNA from 1 species